GAAUGAUUAGGCUUGGCUAAAUAUUGGAUACAUUGUAUUAUUCUUUCAAGAACAUUACAUCAGUAUUUUAUAUUGUUUUCUGUUUCCGGUAAAAUCAAUUGUUUAUUCGGCCUCUUUCCCUCAAUUCCUGUAACAGGGUGUGUGUUUUAUUGUGUGUGAUUCUUCAUGAUUAGCAAUUAAAUCUUCCGUUAGUAAAGAAGGAGGUUGCCAUGAUUUCAUCUGACUUGUUCAAACUGUGGAUUUGUCCUUCUGCUGUUCGAAUCUUCCCCACACUCCAAAGCAAUGUCCAUUUCUGAUGUCAACAGUGGCACUACCCACAAACUUUGAACUCAGGUGCCUUUUGCUUCCAAGACAUAGAGCAACGGAUGUGGAGAUUUCCUUGAUGGCUGAGUGGUGUUAGUCACAAGAGCAAUGAUUGGGGUUACUGGUCAAGCUGUGCCAAUGUUGAGUGACAAAGGGGUCCUAUGUGUUCUGGAAUAAGUCAAUUGUUUUGUGUGUUUAUGGUAUGAGGGUCCUUUAAAGUGCAGGGACCAUGGCAGGAACCCCUCUUGCUUACGUGUAAAGCAGCAGUGGCUGGUGGAGAGGUGUUAAUAAAUUUCUGGAAAGCAAUGUGGUGACAUCUUUCAAAAUGAACGUAAAUCAUGCAUAAGGCAACCCCACUGCUAUGACUCUAGCCCACAGACACAAAAGCACACUCAGUCAGGCUGUCAACAGCUGCCAACAUAAGGUCAAUCUUUUUUUUUUUUUUUUUUUUCUGAGACGGAGUCUCGCUUUGUUGCCCAGGCUAGAGUGCAAUGGUGGGAUCUUGGCUCACCGCAACCUCUGC
rnacentral:lncRNA from 1 species